CGCUUUUUUGCUAUGUGCGAUACCCAAAGAUUCGAACCUGCUGCAGGUUCGAGUUGAGCGUAGCGAAACAACGGAGCCGCUCGCGGCGACGGCCCGAAGGGCGAGCGAAGCGAGUCAUCCUGCACGACCCACCA
rnacentral:sRNA from 1 species